rnacentral:rRNA from 1 species
AUGAACGCUUGCGGCGUGCCUCAUACAUGCCAGUCGAGCGCACAGACGAGGAGCUUGCUCCUCUGACGUUAGCGGCGGACGGGUGAGUAACACGUGGAUAACCUACCUAUAAGACUGGGAUAACUUCGGGAAACCGGAGCUAAUACCGGAUAAUAUAUUGAACCGCAUGGUUCAAUAGUGAAAGACGGUUUUGCUGUCACUUAUAGAUGGAUCCGCGCCGCAUUAGCUAGUUGGUAAGGUAACGGCUUACCAAGGCAACGAUGCGUAGCCGACCUGAGAGGGUGAUCGGCCACACUGGAACUGAGACACGGUCCAGACUCCUACGGGAGGCAGCAGUAGGGAAUCUUCCGCAAUGGGCGAAAGCCUGACGGAGCAACGCCGCGUGAGUGAUGAAGGUCUUCGGAUCGUAAAACUCUGUUAUUAGGGAAGAACAAAUGUGUAAGUAACUAUGCACGUCUUGACGGUACCUAAUCAGAAAGCCACGGCUAACUACGUG